GAUGAACGCUAGCUACAGGCUUAACACAUGCAAGUCGCGGGGCAGCAUGGGGGUUGCUUGCAAUCCCCGAUGGCGACCGGCGCACGGGUGAGUAACGCGUAUUCAACCUGCCCUUCACCACGGGAUAACCCGGCGAAAGUCGGACUAAUACCGUAUGUUGUCCAUUGACGGCAUCCGAUUUGGACGAAAGGCUUGGCGGUGAGGGAUGGGGAUGCGUCCGAUUAGCCAGACGGCGGGGUAACGGCCCACCGUGGCUACGAUCGGUAGGGGUUCUGAGAGGAAGGUCCCCCACACUGGAAGUGAGACACGGUCCAGACUCCUACGGGAGGCAGCAGUGAGGAAUAUUGGUCAAUGGGCGUAAGCCUGAACCAGCCAAGUAGCGUGCAGGAUGACGGCCCUAUGGGUUGUAAACUGCUUUUAUGCGGGGAUAAAGUGGCCCACGUGUGGGCUUUUGCAGGUACCGCAUGAAUAAGGACCGGCUAAUUCCGUG
rnacentral:rRNA from 1 species